UACCAGUUUGCAUUUCUUAAAUAAACAGUUAAACUCAAUAAAAAAAACCCAUAACGGCAGUUCCACACCUUCUCUCCUAUUCCAAAGCAGUUAGCGGACGGUUUUCUUUUUCUCUUAAAUCACCCAUCUCCUUCCCUAGAAAUCCCCCCACUGGUGUGCAGUUAAGUUCGAUGCUUUCACCAUGUCCGAUCCGAAACAUCGAGCAACCUCAUCAGCCUCCCCAAAACUGAACGCCGGUUUACAGUUGCAACUUGCUGACUGAAAUCACUAAGUGACUUCGUCAUGCCUUUAUUAGAUAUAGCUACUCACCGCGGUCUUUGUUCUGUAUUCAACUGUAUUUCAGAGAAUUCAUCAUGUUUCGUUUCUAUCUGACAAUCCAAAACCUACCGGAUGGAGUUUGAAAACAAGAUUGGAGUACUCAGCUGUUGUGGAUUUUGCUGAUUGGGUGAAGUUCAAUGCGCAAAGAACUGUUCAAACGACCUCUGCCAUGGGAAUCUAAUCGCUUUCACUUGAUGACCUACAUUUUUUUUUAUUAAUGAUAGUAUAGUAAUGCCAGCCAUGCAUUCAAGCUAGGUUUGUCAGAACUUGUGUAUGACUUUUUAAACAAAAAAAACAUCAAAAGAAAUGACACGGGUCAAAUCGGUUGAUAAUACUUUUAGCGUAGAACCUAAUGAUAUCGUUUGUUGACUUUGUUCAAAGUGAUAUUUAUGUUGAAUCAUAUUUUUUACACUUAUUUUAUAAAAUGUCAAAGUUUUGGACAACAAAUGUCUUUGCUUUAGCUCACCUUGAUGGCUUGAUCCAUUUCGAUAUCUAGAUUUAUUAAAAGUCAAAAAAAUAUUGUUUAUUUAAACUUCUUACGUUGGUCCAUUUUGAAGUUGUUAUGCAACCAUUUUAGCAUGUUUUAAAAGGUAUUGUUAUUUAGCAUUCUGACACAGAUCGGGUAACUUGUGUUUUAACACUAAUUAACCUAUAAAUGUGACUUGAGAUCAAUAUAACAUGUUUUAGUAUUUGGAUAAACAGACUUUGCUUCUCAUUAUUUGAUUACUUAGGGUGUCAAAUAAUUAGUUUUGGAUAACCAGUUUCAUAUAAAGCUGUUGGCAAAAACUAAAAUGAUUUAUUUGCCCUUUUU